rnacentral:sRNA from 1 species
CAAAAGAUACAAAGCCAAAGACUCAUACGGACUUCGGCUACACCAUGAAAGUUUUGAGAAGCAAUAAGAAGCUUGGUUAGUGUUUUGGAAUCAAAUAUGACUAGAUGUAAUGUGUAUGAUUGAGUAUAAGAACUAGAACGGCAACCGAUUCCCAAUAGCUAAAGUUAUGUUUCCCUGUUAGAAGAUACAAAGCCAAAAACUCAUACGGACUUCGGAUACACCAUCAAAAUUUUGAGAAGCAAUAAGAAGCUUGGUUAGUAUUUUAGAGUCAAAUAUUACAGGAUGUCAUGUGUAUCAUUGAGUAUAAGAACUAGAACCGCAACCAAUUCCCAAAAGCUAAAGUAAUGUUUCCUUGUUUGAAGAUACAAAACCAAAGAGUCAUACGGACAUCGGCUACACCAUCAAAGCUUUGUA